AUUGAACGCUGGCGGCAUGCCUUACACAUGCAAGUCGAACGGCAGCGGACCUUCGGGUGCCGGCGAGUGGCGAACGGGUGAGUAAUAUAUCGGAACGUACCUUUCAGUGGGGGAUAACGUAGCGAAAGUUACGCUAAUACCGCAUAUUCUGUGAGCAGGAAAGCAGGGGAUCGCAAGACCUUGCGCUGAUUGAGCGGCCGAUAUCAGAUUAGCUAGUUGGUGAGGUAAAGGCUCACCAAGGCGACGAUCUGUAGCGGGUCUGAGAGGAUGAUCCGCCACACUGGAACUGAGACACGGUCCAGACUCCUACGGGAGGCAGCAGUGGGGAAUCUUGGACAAUGGGGGAAACCCUGAUCCAGCCAUGCCGCGUGAGUGAUGAAGGCCCUAGGGUCGUAAAACUCUUUCGCUGGGGAAGAUAAUGACGGUACCCAGUAAAGAAACCCCGGNUAACUCCGUG
rnacentral:rRNA from 1 species